ensembl:lncRNA
CUCACCAGCUGCCCUUCUCACCGGCUGCUCAAGAAAAUAAGUUCAGAGAUUCAUAAUCUACUCUCAGCAAACGUAUAUUCACCAUUUAGAAGGCCUUCUCCCAUCUUAAUUCUUAUGUGUUCCUAGCUUCAUUUAACUAUAGCUAUCAUUAAACUUACAUUUCCAUAUUAAGACACCUUGAGUUAAACCUAGCAAAGUCCUCAUUGGCACCUGCCUUUAUAACAAUGUUUGUCUCUCGUACACAUACACACAUACAUAUAGAUACAUAUAUACCAUCGUCUUCUUGGAACUCUGUGGCUUUGAACAAUUUACCUGGGAUAGAACUUUUCUCACCCGUGCACUGAGAAACUUGGAACUGUGUGAUCUCUAAGCUCCCUUUCGGCUCUGUAUCCUUAGGAUUUGACCCUGUUUUGUCACUGCUUCUCCUUUAGUUGAUCCAGAGUCCAAGCCCCCUCCUCACCUUUUGGGGUGAGGAUUUCAAUAUAUGGAGGCAACUGCCCGGAAUUCUCUGCCGGUGUCACAGAGGGUAAGGAAAGCCCAGAAACAGCUGCUGUUUGGGAGCUUGAGAAAGAAACUGGCCAUAGAGGUGAUCGAAUAUUCAUCAUAGAAAAGAAUGGAAAAAGGCCAUUUGCAGCAACAUGGAUGGACCGAGAGAUUAUCAUAUUAAGUGACUUAAAUCAGAAAAAGACAAGUAUCAUACGGUGUCACAUGUGGAAUCUAAAAAAAUAAUACAAAUGAACUUAUUUACAAAACAGAAACAGACUCUUACACAUAAAAAACAAACUUACGCUUACCAAAGGGGAAACACUGGGGUUGGAGAAUGGAUAAACUAGAUGUUUGGAACUAGCAUAUACACACGAUUACAUAUAAAACAUACUCAACAAGGACCUACUGUAUAGUAUAGGGAACUCUGCUCAACAUUCUGUAAUAACCUAUAUGGGAAAAGAACCUGAAAAAGAAUGGCUAUAGGUAUAAUGGAAUCACUUACUGUGCACCUGAAACUAACUAACAUUGUCAAUCAACUAUGCUCCAAUAUAAAAUAAAGACUAAAAAAUAUCACAGACUAGGUAGCUUGUAAACAACACAAAUUUCUUUCUCACAAUUCUGGAGGCUGGAAGUCCAAGAUGAGGGUGCAGAUAUGAGGGUGAGAAACUUCCUUGUGGUUGCAGACUUCUUGUAUCCUCACCUGGCAGAGAGUUCUUUUAUUAGAGCACUAAGCCCUUUCAUGGGAGAAGGCGAUGGCACCCCACUCCAGUACUCUUGCCUGGAGAAUCCUAUGGGCAGAGGAGCCUGGUAGGCUGCAGUCCAUGGGGUCGAGAAGAGUCGGACACGACUGAGCCACUUCACUUUCACUUUUCACUUUCAUGCACUGGAGAAGGAAAUGGCAACCCACUCCAGUGUUCUUGCCUGGAGAACCCCAGGGGCGGUGGAGCCUGGUGGGCUGCCAUCCGUGGGGUCGCACAGAGUCGGACACAACUGAAGCGACGUAGCAGCAGCAGCAGCAAGCCCUUUCAUGAGGGCCCCACCAUCAGGACAUAAUCACCCCCCAAAGGCUCCACCCAUUGGUGGUUCAGAACUGUUUCACCAGGACUAUGCACUUAACAAUGAAGAGUUCUUUACAGCUCAAGGAAAACUGCCACAGCCCUGUCCUGCUUGUCUGCUUCCCAGUCUCCCAAGUUCCUGUUUUACGAGUAAGAUCCAUUAAGAGAAUCAGGAGCUGGGAGAAACUCAGGCCUUUUCAACUGUACAGCUGGGGAAUUACAACUACCAAUAGAACGCCAGCACCAUGAGGGCAAGGAUUUUCGUCUGCUUGCUCACCGCCAUCAUCCCAGGGCCCAGACGGUGCUGAGCACCUAGCAGGAUGGAAGUAAGAUGGCUCAGAAUAUCCCAGCCUUACAACUACAGACCACAGUAUCUGGAGGGAAAAUGAGAUCUUUUCUCAAUGCAGAUCUCAGGAAUAAGGCUGUGCCAGGCAGCGUGCAGGAUCUUAAUUCCCUGACCAGGGAUUGAACCUGUGCCCCUGGAGUGGAAGUUUGGAGGCCUAACCACUGGACCACCAGGGAUGUCCCUCGACUGCCUUUUAAUUCAGUUAAUUCAGUCACUUUGCAGUUCAUUUUUUGCUUCGUAUUUAAGUGUUUUGGUGGUCAGACCACAUUUCUGCUAAGAGUUCAUGGCUUGUUUUCAGGAGAAAAUGGCUAAAAGUUCAAUAUAAUUGUAUGCAUUUGAGGUCUAUGAAUAACUGUGAUAAAAUGUUCAGAAAGUAAAAAUGCUGCCUUCCACUCAAAAUUAAAUGGAGUUGACACAGCUGGUUUGUUUGAUUUGGGGGUGGGCAAAUGGGGUUGUGCUAGAUUGUAUAUUUCAGUUAUCAGAUUUCUCUAGAAAAACGACUGGAUUUCUAAAUGAGUUUCCUGAGAAAAUGACUAAGUGUGUGAAUAACACUAAAAUAAGUUUCCUGUACAUUGCGAAAUGGAUAUUGAAGGGGAGAAAGGGCUCAGUGUGUCAUAGUUGUUUGGAAAUUGUUUUAGCAUGGAAAUGGGUACCAUAGAACAUGCCAUUUUAUUAUUUGACAAAGUAGUUACUGGUUUCUGCCAUCAAGAAAAAAGACAAAAAGGGAUCUAAAGUAAGUAGAGCUAAUAUCCCUGUUCUCCAGUCCUUGUAUUUUUAUGAGGAAAUCUUGGCUUCUGACAAGGUCUGAUCAGAACUGCACAACUAAAUCUGUUUUCCCAUUUUGUAACUGUGGGCGGUAUAAAGGGUUUCAAGCAGAGGAAUGACUUGCUCAGAUGUGCAUAC